rnacentral:rRNA from 1 species
UACGGGGGGUGCGAGCGUUGUCCGGAAUUAUUGGGCGUAAAGAGCUCGUAGGCGGUUCGGCAAGUCGGAUGUGAAAUCUCCACGCUUAACGUGGAGGGGCCAUUCGAAACUGCUGUGACUCGAGUCCGGUAGGGGAGUGUGGAAUUCCCGGUGUAGCGGUGAAAUGCGCAGAUAUCGGGAGGAACACCAGUAGCGAAGGCGGCACUCUGGGCCGGUACUGACGCUGAGGAGCGAAAGCGUGGGGAGCGAACAGG